ACAUCCCGGAGACCUUAGGAACUAGGGGUGCUUCCAUCUGGAAGAAUCUGGAGACAGGUGCUGCAUGGCUGUCGUCAGCUCGUGUCGUGAGAUGUUGGGUUAAGUCCCGCAACGAGCGCAACCCUUGCCUUUAGUUGCCAGCAGUUCGGCUGGGCACUCUAAAGGGACUGCCGGUGUUAAACCGGAGGAAGGUGGGGAUGACGUCAAGUCCUCAUGGCCUCUAUGACCAGGGCUACACACGUACUACAAUGGCCGAUACAAAGGGCAGCGACACUGCGAGGUGAAGCCAAUCCCGUAAAAUCGGUCUCAGUCCGGAUUGGAGUCUGCAACUCGACUCCAUGAAGUUGGAAUCGCUAGUAAUCGUGGAUCAGCAUGCCACGGUGAAUACGUUCCCGGGCCUU
rnacentral:rRNA from 1 species